GCCGGUGACGAUACGUCGAGGAAGAACAGUGGCCGAAGAGAGGGCGUCGCGUCUGCAGGUAUAGUAGCCAGCAAGCGGAAAACGCAAGAGAAGAGGGCUGGCACCGCGAAAACGAGAAGGGACCGCGACUGGUUCACGAUGGGGUGCGGAUACCCGGGUAACGGAGGGAGAUAGAGAGGGAAAGGAAGGGAUUUAGGGUUU